AUACGUAGGGUGCGAGCGUUGUCCGGAAUUACUGGGCGUAAAGAGCUCGUAGGUGGUUUGUCGCGUCGUCUGUGAAAUUCCGGGGCUUAACUCCGGGCGUGCAGGCGAUACGGGCAUAACUUGAGUACUGUAGGGGAGACUGGAAUUCCUGGUGUAGCGGUGAAAUGCGCAGAUAUCAGGAGGAACACCGGUGGCGAAGGCGGGUCUCUGGGCAGUAACUGACGCUGAGGAGCGAAAGCAUGGGUAGCGAACAGGAUUAGGUACCCUGGUAGUCCAUGCCGUAAACGGUGGGCGCUAGGUGUAGGGGUCUUCCACGACUUCUGUGCCGUAGCUAACGCAUUAAGCGCCCCGCCCGGGGAGUACGGCCGCAAGGCUAAAACUUAAAGGAAUUGACGGGG
rnacentral:rRNA from 1 species